UAUUAUGACAGAGCAUGGCGCAUGGAAUGGGUGUGAAGUUACCACAACUAACUGAAGUCCUUUGUUCCGAGUUAUCAGUAAAAGAGGUGUGUUGGAGGCCAUGCGUUAAUAGAUAGCCUAUAUGGAGAAAUUUUACAGGGAGACAGGUUUGUUUUAGAAGAGUCACAAAUAUGUUGGAAUGCUACGAACUUUCAAUAUAUGUCGAUGAUGAUCCAAGGCAAUGACACCCGUAGCGAACCUUUUCGAGCAAGUCUUAUAUUUUCCUCCGUCGCUUCGACAACCAUACCGUUUUAAGGAUGAAUCAUUUUUUCAUCUUUUCUGUUGUUGCCGUGGCCGACCACCAUUGUUCGCCAUGUCGAUAACAGUGAUGUUUCGUUGGUGUUUCAUUAACAGUAAAAUAUAUACAAAACCACGCAGGUAUUCUACUCCUAGAACAAACUUGAUGGCAUUUAAUACAUCAUGUGAAAACAAUGCAGAAGCCCUACCUCCCGAAUAUCCCCAGAACUUUUUGGUGAACUUUUGAUCGUCAUUUUCCAUGUUUAUAUAAUUGCUAAAAUGGUAUCAAUUUUAGA